GACGAACGCUGGCGGCGUGCUUAACACAUGCAAGUCGAACGGAAAGGCCCUGCUUUUGUGGGGUGCUCGAGUGGCGAACGGGUGAGUAACACGUGAGUAACCUGCCCUUGACUUUGGGAUAACUUCAGGAAACUGGGGCUAAUACCGGAUAGGAGCUCCUGCUGCAUGGUGGGGGUUGGAAAGUUUCGGCGGUUGGGGAUGGACUCGCGGCUUAUCAGCUUGUUGGUGGGGUAGUGGCUUACCAAGGCUUUGACGGGUAGCCGGCCUGAGAGGGUGACCGGCCACAUUGGGACUGAGAUACGGCCCAGACUCCUACGGGAGGCAGCAGUGGGGAAUAUUGCACAAUGGGCGGAAGCCUGAUGCAGCAACGCCGCGUGCGGGAUGGCGGCCUUCGUGUUGUAAACCGCUUUCGCCUGUGACGAAGCGUGAGUGACGGUAAUGGGUAAAGAAGCACCGGCUAACUACGUG
rnacentral:rRNA from 1 species